rnacentral:rRNA from 1 species
UAGAGUUUGAUCAUGGCUCAGAUUGAACGCUGGCGGCAGGCCUAACACAUGCAAGUCGAGCGGAAACGAUGGAAGCUUGCUUCCAGGCGUCGAGCGGCGGACGGGUGAGUAAUGCAUGGGAAUCUGCCCGAUAGUGGGGGAUAACCUGGGGAAACCCAGGCUAAUACCGCAUACGUCCUACGGGAGAAAGCAGGGGAUCUUCGGACCUUGCGCUAUCGGAUGAGCCCAUGUCGGAUUAGCUUGUUGGUGAGGUAAUGGCUCACCAAGGCGACGAUCCGUAGCUGGUCUGAGAGGAUGAUCAGCCACAUCGGGACUGAGACACGGCCCGAACUCCUACGGGAGGCAGCAGUGGGGAAUAUUGGACAAUGGGCGAAAGCCUGAUCCAGCCAUGCCGCGUGUGUGAAGAAGGCCCUCGGGUUGUAAAGCACUUUCAGUGGGGAAGAAAGCCUUGGGAUUAAUACUCCCGAGGAAGGACAUCACCCACAGAGAAGACCG